rnacentral:rRNA from 1 species
UACGGGGGGGGCAAGCGUUGUUCGGAAUUACUGGGCGUAAAGGGCUCGUAGGCGGCCAACUAAGUCAGACGCGAAAUCCCUCGGCUUAACCGGGGAACUGCGUCUGAUACUGGAUGGCUUGAGUUCGGGAGAGGGAUGCGGAAUUCCAGGUGUAGCGGUGAAAUGCGUAGAUAUCUGGAGGAACACCGGUGGCGAAGGCGGCAUCCUGGACCGAUACUGACGCUGAGGAGCGAAAGCCAGGGGAGCAAACGGG